ACAACCUCCGAUGAAUUAAAUAGAGAGAGCGAAAAACUUUUUAGGGUUUUGCUUUCAACCGAAAAAGAGAGCUCUGAGGGUUUAGGUUUUGCGUUCAACGUUGCUAAUUUCCCAGUUCGAAAUAGUAGCUUUCCCAUCAACAUGAUUUGGGACUUGCGCACAAACCAACCUCAACAAUCUGUCAAAGCUCAUGAGAAAGAGAGAGAGAGAGGUGACAUUCUUGAAAACUUUCUCAUUUCUGUGACAGUGGCUCUCCAAUUUUUUUAUUAAAUGUCUUACCUACCAUGUGCUAAAAAUUUUCCAUGAAUUUUUUUACCAAAUUUCUAUAA